rnacentral:rRNA from 1 species
UGGGCCUACGGGACGCAGCAGUAGGGAAUCUUCCACAAUGGGCGAAAGCCUGAUGGAGCAACGCCGCGUGGGUGAAGAAGGUCCUCGGAUCGUAAAACCCUGUUGUUAGAGAAGAAAGUGCGUGAGAGUAACUGUUCACGCUUCGACGGUAUCUUACCAGAAAGCCACGGCUAACUACGUGCCAGCAGCCGCGGUAAUACGUAGGUGGCAAGCGUUAUCCGGAUUUAUUGGGCGUAAAGGGAACGCAGGCGGUUUUUUAAGUCUGAAGUUAAAGGCUUUGGCUUAACCGUAGUA